AUUUGUGAUUUUUCUUGUGUUGUUCCAUUCUGUUUUCUCCUUCUGUGUCCUUUUCUUUUUGGUGUUCUUUUUCAAGCUGUGCAUCGUCCCAAAAAAUAGGG
rnacentral:ribozyme from 1 species